CUGUACUUUACAAUGAUAUUUCUCUGGUGUCCUAGAAAAGAGACACGACAGAACAAACCUGGUAUAGUGGGAUAGAAACUUCAACAUUGUGUCUGUCUUGACUAUACCCAUCCUGUAACUACAUAUGUUAAUAUGGAUGCAUUCAAUUGACAGAAACUAUUUUAAUGAAACACGGUAGCAUACGUUGUUUUUUUGAGCUAUGUAACAGACACAGCUUUUGAGAAGAG